CUCAACCUUUCGAAAAUGUAAGUUUACAGUGCUGUAACCUCACCUAAACGAAAACCUAAUUUGAUCAAUCGAAAACCUAAGCCAUGUCGUAGCUCCGUCGCGCUGCGCCGUCUUCGCGCGUCGUCGCGCCCAUCUCCGUCGCCGCGUCGUCGCGUCGUCGCGCCCAUCUCCGUCGUGCUGCGCUGUCUUCGUCGCGCUGUCGCGCCCAUCUCUGUCGCGCUGCGCCGUCUUCGCCGUGUCGUCGCAUCGUCGCGCCCAUCUCCGUCGCGCUGCGUUGUCUUCGUCGCGCCGUCGCGCUGCGCAGUCUCCGUCGCGGCGUCUCCGUCGCGCAGUCUCCCUCGCGGCGUCUCUGUCGCGUAGUCUCCCUCGCGGCGUCUCCGUCUCGCAAUCUCCUUCGCGCCGUCUCUGUCGCGCAGUCUCAGUCGCGCCGUCUCCGUCGGCGUUCUCUUCUUCGCUUCAUCUCGGUCGCGCUGUCUUCGUUUCCCCGUCUCCGUCGCGUCAUCAUCCCGGUUAGCCUCUGUGGUAGCCUCUUUCGUUACGCUCUCUCCUUCACUCUGGCCCUCCAUCACAUCCAGUGGCUUCUUUACAGUCAAGCUGUCAAUGGACUCAUUACCUAAUCUCAACUAGCAUCCUGGUUUUAUUCUCUAUCUCUUUAUUCAUUUGUCAUUUGUCAUGUUUAUGUUGCCUAUAUUAUUAAAACUAGCAUUAUUUGUGUAGCCUACAUUGAAGAACAACUACCAUUUGUGUUUCUUCUAUGCUUUAUAAGUGUUUGUGUAUUUUAUAAAAUACUUAUUGCCAUUUUGUUUAGGUAUCUAUUCCAAUGGAUAAAUCUUGGAUUGUUAAGCCUCGGAAUACAAUUGAAUACUCAAUUGGUUUAAAAAAAUUCUUAGAUUUUGCUUUUGAAAAUGGGGCUGUUGGAGAUACAAUUAAAUGUCCAUGUCCCAAAUGUGGGUUUAUGAAAUGGCAAACUAGAGGCGUAGUUGAGGAGCACUUGAUUUUAAAAGCAUUUCCCAAAAAUUAUGUUAUAUGGAAUCUUCAUGGUGAGAAACAAAUAGAAGAUAUUUCUAGUAAUGAAGAUGAUAUACAAGAGGCAUUUCAUUAUGAAAAUCCAAUGGAAACAAUGAUCAAUGAAGCAUUUGGGCACUAUAGGCAAGAAGGUACUAAUCUAGGCAAAACACAACCAUUGGGUGUAGAUGAUGUUUUGAAUGAAAGGCCAAAGGAGCAUCAUAAUGAGUUUAUUGAUUUUCUCAAUGAUGGAAAUCAAACAUUGUGUGACGGGAGCAAGUACACAAAAUUAGAGUUUGUAAUCAAAUUAUAUCACAUCAAGGUUUUGUGUGGAUUAAGUGACAAGGCAAUGACUAUGAUCCUAGAUUUGUUAAAAGAUGCAUUUAAUGAAGCAAACUUGCCUCUUUCUUUUUAUAAGGCUAAGAAAACCAUCAACAAACUUGGUCUUAACUAUACCAAAAUAGAUGCAUGUCCGAAUGAUUGUAUGUUAUAUUUAAGAGAUGAUGAAAAAGAUUUGCAAACAUGCAAACAUUGCGGUACAUCUAGAUGGAACCCAAAGAAGAAGAAAAAAACAACCUGUAAAAGUUUUGCGUUACUUUCCAUUGAAACCAAGAUUGCAAAGAUUGUUUAUGUGUUCUAAGACUGCAGAGCAUAUGAGAUGGCAUUCUUUAGAGAACAAAGAUGGGUUCAUAAGGCAUCCAAGGGACGGUGAGGCAUGGAAAACAUUUAGUUUAUUGCAUCCUGAGUUUGCUUCUGAUCCUCGAAAUGUUCGUUUAGGCCUUCCUAGUGAUGGUUUUAAUCCUUUUGGUACUAUGAGUUCUACUUAUAGUAUUUGGCCAGUGUUUUUAAUUCCAUACAAUCUUCCACCAUGGAUAUGUAUGAAGCACACUUCAUUGAUCCUAUCCAUGAUCAUUCCAGGUAAGCAAAUGCCAGGAAAUAAUAUUGAUGUGUACUUACAACCCCUUGUGGAUGAGUUACGCGAGCUAUGGAAUGAUGGUGUGGAGACCUUUGAUUCUUCAUUGAAUGAAACUUUCAGGAUGCGAGUAGCUCUUAUGUGGACAAUUAGUGACUUUCUUGGCCUAGGUAUUUUAUCUGGUUGGAACACACACACAGGUUUAGCUUGCCCUACUUGUAACUUUGAUGCAAUACCUUGUCGUCUUCCUUAUAGUAAGAAAUGGUGUUUUAUGGGGCAUCGUCGCUUUUUGAGUAGAAACCAUAGAUUUAGAUUGAAUCGUGUUCGCUUUGAUGGAAGCACCAAAACAAGGAAUCCACCACUAAAAUUAUCAGGAUCUGACAUUUUUAGGCAAGUUGAAAAUAUUAAUGUUACAUUUGGGAGAGGAGUAAUUUUGGAUGGUAGAGGAAAAAGAUAUAGAGAAGAAGUUAAACAAUGGAAAAAAAGAAGCAUUUUCUUUGAACUUCCGUAUUGGGAGUCUAAUUUGUUACGCCAUAAUUUAGAUUUCAUGCAUAUUGAAAAAAAAUGUAUUUGACAAUUUGGUAUAUACUUUGUUAAAUGAAAAGCCUAAAUCCAAAGACAAUGUAAAUGCUCGGAAAGAUUUAAAGGAAAUGGGCAUAAGAGAGGAUCUUUGGCCAGAUGAUAAUGGAAGAUAUCACCUUGCUUUGUUUUCACUAACUCGUGAUACCAAAAAGUUGUUUCUCAAAACUUUGAAAAAUGUCAUAGUACCGGAUGGUUACUCAAGUAACAUUUCUAGAUGUGUUGAUGAGGUGCAACAAAAAAUAUUUGGGCUAAAAAGUCACGAUUGCCAUAUUAUUAUGGAGCAAUUACUACCGCUGGCAAUACGUAAUUUGUUACCAAACCAUGUCACUGCAACCUUGGUGGAGUUUUGCUCAUUUUUUAAAGUCCUUUGUAGUAAAAGUUUAAAUCCACAAGAACUUGAAAUGCUUCAAGAUCGCAUUGUGCUAACACUUUGCCACUUAGAGAUGUUAUUCCCACCAUCAUUCUUCACGGUUAUGGUUCAUUUAACUGUCCAUCUGGUAGAGGAAGCAAAACUUGGAGGUCCAGUUCAUUAUCGAUAUAUGUAUCCUAUAGAAAGGGAAUUAGGUCAUUUAAAGACCUUUGUACGAAACAAGGCAAAACCAGAAGGUUUUAUAGCUGAGGGAUACUUAGCUGAAGAGUCUCUUACCUUUUGUUCUAGAUACAUUGAAGAUAUAGAGACAAGGUUCAAUAGACCAAGGCGUGUUUGUGAUAAAACAGGUGAUAAUGAGCCUUUUCUGUCAUCUAUCUUCCCACAAGGUGGGAAGCCAGUAGGAGGUUCCUCGAAUUUUACUUUAACUCAGAUGCAAAAACUACAAGCCCAUCGAUAUGUGCUUUUAAAUUGUGCAGUAGUCACACCAUUUGUUGAGUGAGUAAUCUACAUUAAGUGUGUGAUUUGUAUUUAAACUAAUUAAAUUAUAUUAGUCAUGUUGUUUGAUUAUAUAUGUAGUGAAUUUAGACAACUAAUAAAAAGAAGUUCAAGGGGAAGGCGACCUUCAACCACUGAGAUCGAAACUAGAGUGUUUAAAGAGUUUGUUGAUUGGUUUCAAAGGCGGGUGGGUUAUCAAAUAGUACACUUUCUGUUAUUUACUAUGUUUUCUUUCAAUUAUGGCUAACAUAACUUCUUUAUUUAGAUUAUGAAUCCAGACACAACAAAUACAAUGUCUAAUGACUUAAAGUUUCUAGCACGAGGUCCAUUGGAAAAUGCUAACAGAUUUACUGCGUACAACAUCAAUGGGUUUAAAUUUCGAACAUUGACUCGAGAUGAGGGAUUGAGAACACAAAAUAGUGGUGUGUUUUUAACAUCUAAUACAGCUUGUGUAUCAAGCAGUGUUGACAAGAACUUAAGGCAAGUGGACUUAUCCUAUUAUGGAAAGUUAGAGGAUAUCAUUGAGCUUAAUUAUUAUGGUCAAUUCAAAGUUGUUCUUUUCAAGUGUAAGUGGGCAGAUACUACACGAGAAAGAGGAUAUAAAAAGGAUCAAUGGAAUUUUAAUUGUGUUAACUUUGAUAGACUAAUUCAUAUUGGAGACCGUGAAGAACAUGAACCUUAUAUUUUGGCAUCUCAAGCACAAAUGGUAUAUUAUGUAGAUGAUGUGGUCAAUAAAGGAUGGAGUGUUGUUGUGCAUUUAAAGCCAAGAGAUUUGUAU